rnacentral:rRNA from 1 species
UACAGAGGGUGCGAGCGUUAAUCGGAGUGACUGGGCGUAAAGGGCAUGUAGGCGGUUAUAUUAGUCUGAUGUGAAAGACCAGGGCUUAACCCUGGAUAUGCAUUGGAGACGGUAUAGCUAGAGUUUGGGAGAGGGAAGUGGAAUUUCCGGUGUAGCGGUGAAAUGCGUAGAGAUCGGAAAGAACACUCGUGGCGAAGGCGGCUUUCUGGCCCAAAACUGACGCUGAGGUGCGAAAGCAUGGGGAGCAAACAGGAUUAGAUACCCUGGUAGUCCAUGCUGUAAACGAUGAGAACUGGAGGAAUGUUAACGCAAGUUGAUGUGUCUCUAAGCUAACGCGUAAGUUCUCCGCCUGGGGAGUACGGCCGCAAGGUUAAA